rnacentral:rRNA from 1 species
AAAAGCCUCUAAGCAUCAGGUAACAUCAAAUCGUACCCCAAACCGACACAGGUGGUCAGGUAGAGAAUACCAAGGCGCUUGAGAGAACUCGGGUGAAGGAACUAGGCAAAAUGGUGCCGUAACUUCGGGAGAAGGCACGCUGAUAUGUAGGUGAAGUCCCUCGCGGAUGGAGCUGAAAUCAGUCGAAGAUACCAGCUGGCUGCAACUGUUUAUUAAAAACACAGCACUGUGCAAACACGAAAGUGGACGUAUACGGUGUGACGCCUGCCCGGUGCCGGAAGGUUAAUUGAUGGGGUCAGCGCAAGCGAAGCUCUUGAUCGAAGCCCCGGUAAACGGCGGCCGUAACUAUAACGGUCCUAAGGUAGCGAAAUUCCUUGUCGGGUAAGUUCCGACCUGCACGAAUGGCGUAAUGAUGGCCAGGCUGUCUCCACCCGAGACUCAGUGAAAUUGAACUCGCUGUGAAGAUGCAGUGUACCCGCGGCAAGACGGAAAGACCCCGUGAACCUUUACUAUAGCUUGACACUGAACAUUGAGCCUUGAUGUGUAGGAUAGGUGGGAGGCUUAGAAGUGUGGACGCCAGUCUGCAUGGAGCCGACCUUGAAAUACCACCCUUUAAUGUUUGAUGUUCUAACGUUGACCCGUAAUCCGGGUUGCGGACAGUGUCUGGUGGGUAGUUUGACUGGGGCGGUCUCCUCCUAAAGAGUAACGGAGGAGCACGAAGGUUGGCUAAUCCUGGUCGGACAUCAGGAGGUUAGUGCAAUGGCAUAAGCCAGCUUGACUGCGAGCGUGACGGCGCGAGCAGGUGCGAAAGCAGGUCAUAGUGAUCCGGUGGUUCUGAAUGGAAGGGCCAUCGCUCAACGGAUAAAAGGUACUCCGGGGAUAACAGGCUGAUACCGCCCAAGAGUUCAUAUCGACGGCGGUGUUUGGCACCUCGAUGUCGGCUCAUCACAUCCUGGGGCUGAAGUAGGUCCCAAGGGUAUGGCUGUUCGCCAUUUAAAGUGGUACGCGAGCUGGGUUUAGAACGUCGUGAGACAGUUCGGUCCCUAUCUGCCGUGGGCGCUGGAGAACUGAGGGGGGCUGCUCCUAGUACGAGAGGACCGGAGUGGACGCAUCACUGGUGUUCGGGUUGUCAUGCCAAUGGCACUGCCCGGUAGCUAAAUGCGGAAGAGAUAAGUGCUGAAAGCAUCUAAGCACGAAACUUGCCCCGAGAUGAGUUCUCCCUGACCCUUUAAGGGUCCUGAAGGAACGUUGAAGACGACGACGUUGAUAGGCCGGG